UACGGGGGGAGCAAGCGUUGUUCGGAUUUACUGGGCGUAAAGGGCGCGUAGGCGGUCAGCACAAGUCAGUUGUGAAAUCUCCGGGCUUAACUCGGAAAGGUCAACUGAUACUGUGCGACUAGAGUGCAGAAGGGGCAACUGGAAUUCUCGGUGUAGCGGUGAAAUGCGUAGAGAUCAGGCAGAACACCCGUGGCGAAGGCGGCCAGCUGGGCCGACCCUGACGCUGAGGCGCGAAGGCGUGGGGAGCGAACGGG
rnacentral:rRNA from 1 species